UUAAGAUUCAAAUAUAAAGUAUUUUUAAACUUUUAUUAAAA
rnacentral:tRNA from 1 species